rnacentral:rRNA from 1 species
UCCUUAGGUGGCAACCGUUGUCCGGACUUACCGGGCGUAACCAUCCCGCAGGCGGUCGUUCAAGUCGCGUGUGAAAGCCCCCGGCUCAACUGGGGAGGGUCACGCGAUACUGAUCGACUGGAAGGCAGGAGAGGGUAGUGGAAUUCCCGGUGUAGUGGUGAAAUGCGUAGAUAUCGGGAGGAGGACCAGUGGCGAAGGCGACUACCUGGCCUGUUCUUGACGCUGAGGCGCGAAAGGUAGGGGAGCAAACGGG